rfam:Camelus ferus unplaced genomic scaffold scaffold1437, whole genome shotgun sequence.
GGCGGUACAGCUCAGUGGUAGAGCACGUACUUAGCGUGCACAAGGUCCUGGGUUCAACCCCCAGCACCUCUA